rnacentral:rRNA from 1 species
GAGAAUAGCGUUGGGAAACUGACGGUAAUACUCAAUAAAGUCGAGAGACCAAAAGGUUUUACUGGCCCGGAAAGAGCGGCCGAUGCGAUAUUAGGUAGUUGGUGGGUAAUGGCCUACCAAGCCUGAGAUGUCUAGGGGGUGUGAGAGCAUGGCCCCCACCACUGGGACUGAGAUACUGCCCAGACACCUACGGGUGGCUGCAGUCGAGGAUCUUCGUCAAUGGGCGAAAGCCUGAACGAGCGAUGCCGCGUGCGGGAUGAAGGCCCUUGGGUUGUAAACCGCUGUCAGGGGGGAUGAAACCGUAAGGUUGACAGAGCCCCAGAGGAAGCACGGGCUAAGUUCGUG